ACGGCUCAGUAACACGUGGACAAUCUGCCCUGGAGAGGAGGAUAACCCCGGGAAACUGGGAUUAAUACUCCAUAGUUCGUCUUAACUGGAAUGUUAUUCGAACGAAAGAUCCGUCGCUCCAGGAUGAGUCUGCGGCCGAUUAGGUAGUUGUUGGGGUAACGGCCCAACAAGCCUUUCAUCGGUACGGGUUGUGGGAGCAAGAGCCCGGAGAUGGAUUCUGAGACACGAAUCCAGGCCCUACGGGGCGCAGCAGGCGCGAAAACUUUACCAUGCGGGCAACCGUGAUAAGGAAACCCCGAGUGCCAGCACAGGCUGGCUGUCCGCCAGUUUAAAUAACUGGUGAAGAAAGGGCCGGGCAAGACCGGUGCCAGCCGCCGCGGUAAUACCGGCGGCUCGAGUGGUGGCCGCUAUUACUGGGCUUAAAGGGUCCGUAGCUUGAUAACUGGGUCCCUUGAGAAAUCCGCUGGCUUAACUUGCGGGCGUUCAGGGGAAACUUGUUUUCUUGGGACCGGGAGAGGUGAGGGGUACUGCCGGGGUAGGAGUGAAAUCCUGUAAUCCCGGUGGGACCACCUAUGGCGAAGGCAUCUCACCAGAACGGGUCCGACAGUGAGGGACGAAAGCUGGGGGAGCAAACCGGAUUAGAUACCCGGGUAGUCCCAGCUGUAAACUAUGUGCGUUAGGUGUGUCAGUGACCACGUGUCACUGAGGUGCCGAAGGGAAACCGUGAAACGCACCGCCUGGGGAGUACGGUCGCAAGGCUGAAACUUAAAGGAAUUGGCGGGGGAG
rnacentral:rRNA from 1 species